AAGAUAGCAUCGAUUUUUUUAUUUUCUUUUAUUUUUGGCAUCCUCAGAUUCAUCCAUGACUGAACAUUCAAGCUCACAUAUGACCACAUGACAACGCAUUUAUAGCAGGAAAUUGUUGGGUGGCACAUAACAGUUACUCCAGAUGAGGACACAUCACUGGUUCUCAGCAGUCAUCAUUCAACUCCCAUAUUAACAAGUCGCAUUUCUGCCCUCAAAUUGCAUGCAAGGCAUCCAAGCUAUCUUCAGAAAGUAUAAAGCCAAUCUUCAAAACAAAACUAUGGUUGUAGCUAUUAUGUUAAAAUUCCAGAGGACAAGUCUUCCCUCAAAUGCAACCCUCACAUUUCAAUUCUUCAUGGAGAUGCUUAAAUUUUGGGAAGAAUUGACUUCAAUGCAACAUGCAACUUGCUUUUGGCUGGCAGCAGGUCAAGCUUUUUGGCCAAGUAAAAGCAUCAUUUGCUGAACUUCAACAGGGCCUGUCUCCAUGGGUCCCUAGAUUUGGCAGUAAUAUUGGUUGUAUUCCAAAGCAGACAUAUAUACGAGGUUACUUCACUUUUAAGAUAAAAUAGCAUUAUUCUUCCAAAAUUUUAUCUUUUACUGUAGCAUCAGCAUCUAUACUGAGAUGGGCUCAAAAACUUCUAUGCCAAUGAGACAAAACUAGAAGCAUUCAAACUUAACAUGACUUCAUCGAGGACUGUUAAGGAACAAAAGAAGACUAUUUUGUUAUAUAAGCAAUGAAAUUAUUAAAGUGUA